rnacentral:lncRNA from 1 species
CUCCCUUUGUGUAAAUGGGUUUGACUCUUGGCCAAAAGAAAGGUCAAUCAAAACAAGCAGUGACAUAUUAUCCAUCUCAAUUCGCCAUAGUAUGCCUCUCCAUUAAUUUCACAUUAAUGGUGAUACCCUAAGUAAGCACGAAAUCACUCACUUUGAGGGUGACUUUAAAUCACAAUUCAUGAACCAUAUUUCAAGGCUCGCACUCGUGCUCUUCAUCAAGCUCAUGGAGAAUCACCAAGCAUAAAAAACACAUGCCGAUUCAUACACACUAAACCCGAAGACCACCCACCACGUGACACUAUUAGUGGUUUCGAGUUGUUCAAGAUCAAGUCUUAAUGACCCUUGAAGAAAUCACAAGCCCGGUUCAAGAUAGUAUUCACCAGUCUUGAAAGAAAUUUGUCUUUAGAGAAAGGAAGUCAGUAACAAACCUUUGGAGAAAACCAGAAAGCUCUCUGGAAAAGAAAACGCCAAACACUCAUGUUCUUCAUCAAGCUUGAGGAGAAUCAAUAAGUCCAAUAAACAUGUGUCGAUUCAUGCACCAACAAAGCCAAGGAUCACCCACCACGUGAAGAUGCUCCUAGUCCCGUUUCAUUCAAGAUCAAGUCUCGAUGGCCCUUAAAGAAGCUUCCAGCCCAAUUCAAGAUCAAGUGUUCAUCACCAUUGAAUCGAGUCCUAUAUAGAGGGACUUCAAAGCACAAUGGUAAAAGUACAGUCACUAUGUGAAGGGACUUUAAAAUGCACAUUCUACAUGGGACAAGCACCUGUAUAUGCUGCACCUUGAAGUAGGGGCAUUUGGGACAUAGAAAUUUCGGUGAAAUAAAUAAUCACGAACACAUUAAAAAUUUCGACAUGUGAUGCGAAAUAUAUAAGCACACAAAUUAAACCCUCUUUUUGUCAAUUGUAGUAAAGAAUGUAAGUAGGGAUCGUUCUAGGCCGGGGAUUAGGAAGGAUUGCUAAAACACUUGAAACUGACUCAAAAACGUAAAACAAAGUUUAAAUCACUAAACUAGACUCAAAGAAUGCAAAACUAAACUAUAAAACACUAAAACAACUCAAAAGACUCAAAACAGCUCAAAACAAGCUAAAAGACUCAAAUCUGCCACUAAUAAAGAAUUUGGACGAAAACAGGUUGUAACUUGGUUCAAAACACUUAAAAACACAAACAAAAUCACUUUCUAACUAAUAUGACUCAACAAAGUAAAGGAGGGGGAUUGAUUUUGACGAAUUUGAAAACAAAACAAACAAGUUGUAAACUAAACAGAUUUUUGGACGAAUUUGGUUAAAUUGAAUGGAUGGAAGGCUAGCUAGGAGGUUCUUCUCCACACAUGUCACACUUGCAUACAAAACGAUUUCCAAUUGCUUUUCAAUAAACCAUGAAUUCUCAAUGCCGCAGAUUAACCGUGAAUUGCACUAAUUAACCCUCAGAUUUUCCUAAAGUUAUUGAAUUGGAUGAUUGCAUACGACAACCCAAAGUAUUCCCCACAAGUUCCCUACAUGAAUUGCAUAAUAGAGAUACAAGAAAGAAUCAUUAAAUUCUAUGAAAAUCAUAAGCAUUGACGAGGCACUUGUUACUAUGAAUUGCAUGAAACUUAUGCCAAGAAUUUACUUAACGCGAUUGUGAUUAACAACCUUUACUACUUGUGAAUAUAAGUUCAUAACGAUUAGGUGAAACUCCCUUAUAUCCUAGCAUUAGAUUUAUGCAUGAAAAUUAAGCGUGCACUCUCAACCAACAUACGCAAAUCAGUUUUAAUUCAUAUAGAUAAGUAAAUUGAAUUCACAACUUAUGAAACACAAUUAGAAAUAAUCAAAUCAUAUUGCAAGCAUAAACAUG